AUGAACGCUAGCUACAGGCUUAACACAUGCAAGUCGAGGGGCAGCAUGAACUUAGCUUGCUAAGUUUGAUGGCGACCGGCGCACGGGUGAGUAACACGUAUCCAACCUGCCGAUGACUCGGGGAUAGCCUUUCGAAAGAAAGAUUAAUACCCGAUGGCAUAGUUCUUUCGCAUGGUGGAACUAUUAAAGAAUUUCGGUCAUCGAUGGGGAUGCGUUCCAUUAGGUUGUUGGCGGGGUAACGGCCCACCAAGCCUUCGAUGGAUAGGGGUUCUGAGAGGAAGGUCCCCCACAUUGGAACUGAGACACGGUCCAAACUCCUACGGGAGGCAGCAGUGAGGAAUAUUGGUCAAUGGACGAGAGUCUGAACCAGCCAAGUAGCGUGAAGGAUGACUGCCCUAUGGGUUGUAAACUUCUUUUAUACGGGAAUAAAGUGAGGCACGUGUGCCUUUUUGUAUGUACCGUAUGAAUAAGGAUCGGCUAACUCCGUGCCAGCAGCCGCGGUAAUACGGAGGAUUCGAGCGUUAUCCGGAUUUAUUGGGUUUAAAGGGAGCGUAGGCGGACGCUUAAGUCAGUUGUGAAAGUUUGCGGCUCAACCGUAAAAUUGCAGUUGAUACUGGGUGUCUUGAGUACAGUAGAGGCAGGCGGAAUUCGUGGUGUAGCGGUGAAAUGCUUAGAUAUCACGAAGAACUCCGAUUGCGAAGGCAGCUUGCUGGACUGUAACUGACGCUGAUGCUCGAAAGUGUGGGUAUCAAACAGGAUUAGAUACCCUGGUAGUCCACACAGUAAACGAUGAAUACUCGCUGUUUGCGAUAUACAGUAAGCGGCCAAGCGAAAGCGUUAAGUAUUCCACCUGGGGAGUACGCCGGCAACGGUGAAACUCAAAGGAAUUGACGGGGGCCCGCACAAGCGGUGGAGCAUGUGGUUUAAUUCGAAGCAACGCGAAGAACCUUACCUGGUCUUGACAUCCCGAUGCAUAACGGGUAAUGCCGUUAGUACUUCGGUACAUUGGAGACAGGUGGUGCAUGGUUGUCGUCAGCUCGUGUCGUGAGAUGUUGGGUUAAGUCCCGCAACGAGCGCAACCCUUAUCUUCAGUUACUAACGCGUGAAGGUGAGGACUCUGAAGAGACUGCCGGGGACAACUCGGAGGAAGGUGGGGACGACGUCAAAUCAUCAUGCCCCUUACGUCCGGGGCUACACACGUGUUACAAUGGGGGGUACAGAAGGCAGCUACACGGCGACGUGAUGCUAAUCCCUAAAGCCUCUCUCAGUUCGGAUUGGAGUCUGCAACCCGACUCCAUGAAGCUGGAUUCGCUAGUAAUCGCGCAUCAGCCACGGCGCGGUGAAUACGUUCCCGGGCCUUGUACACACCGCCCGUCAAGCCAUGAAAGCCGGGGGUACCUGAAGUGCGUAACCGCAAGGAGCGCCCUAGGGUAAAACUGGUGAUUGGGGCU
rnacentral:rRNA from 1 species